GGCUUAGAAGCAGCCAUCAUUUAAAGAAAGCGUAAUAGCUCACUGGUCGAGUCGGCCUGCGCGGAAGAUGUAACGGGGCUAAACCAUGCACCGAAGCUGCGGCAGCGACACUAUGUGUUGUUGGGUAGGGGAGCGUUCUGUAAGCCUGUGAAGGUGGCCUGUGAGGGUUGCUGGAGGUAUCAGAAGUGCGAAUGCUGACAUAAGUAACGAUAAAGCGGGUGAAAAGCCCGCUCGCCGGAAGACCAAGGGUUCCUGUCCAACGUUAAUCGGGGCAGGGUGAGUCGACCCCUAAGGCGAGGCCGAAAGGCGUAGUCGAUGGGAAACGGGUUAAUAUUCCCGUACUUGGUGUUACUGCGAAGGGGGGACGGAGAAGGCUAUGUUGGCCGGGCGACGGUUGUCCCGGUUUAAGCGUGUAGGUGUGUGUUCCAGGUAAAUCCGGUUCACUUUAACACUGAGGCGUGAUGACGAGGCACUACGGUGCUGAAGCAACAAAUGCCCUGCUUCCAGGAAAAGCCUCUAAGCAUCAGGUAACAUCAAAUCGUACCCCAAACCGACACAGGUGGUCAGGUAGAGAAUACCAAGGCGCUUGAGAGAACUCGGGUGAAGGAACUAGGCAAAAUGGUGCCGUAACUUCGGGAGAAGGCACGCUGACAUGUAGGUGAAGUGAUUUACUCAUGGAGCUGAAGUCAGUCGAAGAUACCAGCUGGCUGCAACUGUUUAUUAAAAACACAGCACUGUGCAAACACGAAAGUGGACGUAUACGGUGUGACGCCUGCCCGGUGCCGGAAGGUUAAUUGAUGGGGUCAGCGCAAGCGAAGCUCCUGAUCGAAGCCCCGGUAAACGGCGGCCGUAACUAUAACGGUCCUAAGGUAGCGAAAUUCCUUGUCGGGUAAGUUCCGACCUGCACGAAUGGCGUAAUGAUGGCCAGGCUGUCUCCACCCGAGACUCAGUGAAAUUGAACUCGCUGUGAAGAUGCAGUGUACCCGCGGCAAGACGGAAAGACCCCGUGAACCUUUACUAUAGCUUGACACUGAACAUUGAGCCUUGAUGUGUAGGAUAGGUGGGAGGCUUUGAAGUGUGGACGCCAGUCUGCAUGGAGCCGACCUUGAAAUACCACCCUUUAAUGUUUGAUGUUCUAACGUGGACCCGUAAUCCGGGUUGCGGACAGUGUCUGGUGGGUAGUUUGACUGGGGCGGUCUCCUCCUAAAGAGUAACGGAGGAGCACGAAGGUUGGCUAAUCCUGGUCGGACAUCAGGAGGUUAGUGCAAUGGCAUAAGCCAGCUUGACUGCGAGCGUGACGGCGCGAGCAGGUGCGAAAGCAGGUCAUAGUGAUCCGGUGGUUCUGAAUGGAAGGGCCAUCGCUCAACGGAUAAAAGGUACUCCGGGGAUAACAGGCUGAUACCGCCCAAGAGUUCAUAUCGACGGCGGUGUUUGGCACCUCGAUGUCGGCUCAUCACAUCCUGGGGCUGAAGUAGGUCCCAAGGGUAUGGCUGUUCGCCAUUUAAAGUGGUACGCGAGCUGGGUUUAGAACGUCGUGAGACAGUUCGGUCCCUAUCUGCCGUGGGCGCUGGAGAACUGAGGGGGGCUGCUCCUAGUACGAGAGGACCGGAGUGGACGCAUCACUGGUGUUCGGGUUGUCAUGCCAAUGGCACUGCCCGGUAGCUAAAUGCGGAAGAGAUAAGUGCUGAAAGCAUCUAAGCACGAAACUUGCCCCGAGAUGAGUUCUCCCUGAGACUUUAAGUCUCCUGAAGGAACGUUGAAGACGACGACGUUGAUAGGCCGGGUGUGUAAGCGCAGCGAUGCGUUGAGCUAACCGGUACUAAUGAACCGUGAGGCUUAACCUUACAACGCCGAAG
rnacentral:rRNA from 1 species